rnacentral:rRNA from 1 species
UACGGGGGGGGCAAGCGUUGUCCGGAUUUAUUGGGCGUAAAGAGCUCGUAGGCGGCUUGUUGCGUCGACUGUGAAAACCCGCGGCUUAACUGCGGGCUUGCAGUUGAUACGGGCAGGCUAGAGUUCGGUAGGGGAGACUGGAAUUCCUGGUGUAGCGGUGAAAUGCGCAGAUAUCAGGAGGAACACCGGUGGCGAAGGCGGGUCUCUGGGCCGAUACUGACGCUGAGGAGCGAAAGCGUGGGGAGCGAACAGG